rnacentral:rRNA from 1 species
GUAGUCUNCAACCCGACUACAUGAAGCUGGAAUCGCUAGUAAUCGCGGAUCAGAAUGCCGCGGUGAAUACGUUCCCGGGUCUUGUACACACCGCCCGUCACACCAUGGGAGUCGGAAAUGCCCGAAGUCGGUGACCUAACUGAAAGGAAGGAGCCGCCGAAGGCAGGUCUGGUGACUGGGGUGAAGUCGUAACAAGGUAAC